GCCUUUGUGGUGUAAAUAGAAACACAUCCAGUUCGUAAUUGGGAGGUCUGGAGUUCGAAUCCCGGUGAGAGCA
rnacentral:tRNA from 1 species